GUAGUCCAUGCCGUAAACGAUGAUUACUAAGUGUUGGAGGGGUUUCCGCCCCUUCAGUGCUGCAGCUAACGCAUUAAGUAAUCCGCCUGGGGAGUACGACCGCAAGGUUGAAACUCAAAAGAAUUGACGGGGGCCCGCACAAGCGGUGGAGCAUGUGGUUUAAUUCGAAGCUACGCGAAGAACCUUACCAGGUCUUGACAUCUUCUGCCAACCUAAGAGAUUAGGCGUUCCCUUCGGGGACAGAAUGACAGGUGGUGCAUGGUUGUCGUCAGCUCGUGUCGUGAGAUGUUGGGUUAAGUCCCGCAACGAGCGCAACCCUUAUUACUAGUUGCCAGCAUUCAGUUGGGCACUCUAGUGAGACUGCCGGUGACAAACCGGAGGAAGGUGGGGACGACGUCAAAUCAUCAUGCCCCUUAUGACCUGGGCUACACACGUGCUACAAUGGAUGGUACAACGAGUCGCGAAACCGCGAGGUUUAGCUAAUCUCUUAAAACCAUUCUCAGUUCGGACUGUAGGCUGCAACUCGCCUACACGAAGUCGGAAUCGCUAGUAAUCGCGGAUCAGCAUGCCGCGGUGAAUACGUUCCCGGGCCUUGUACACACCGCCCGUCCACCAUGAGAGUUUGUAACACCCAAAGCCGGUGGGGUAAC
rnacentral:rRNA from 1 species